AGAUGGAGACGAGACAUCCAGACUUCUGAGCUUCCUCAGGGGAAGAUAACUGUGCAACCCUUCGGGAUGCUGCGAAAGUUGGAGCUGGACUGAGGGGGAGACAGAGAGAUGCUGGCGUGAAGGGUAAGUGAGAACUAAAGCCGGGUGCUCGGCAGCCGGGUUCUUUCACGUCUGAGUUCCUCGGUGUGCAAGCUGUGUGUGCUCUGGAUGUACUGCUGUGCACGUGAACUCUGUCAGCCAGGGCUCUGGAGCAUGCUUACCUGUUUCCAGGUUUCUGAGGGAUUCUGUUACAGGGCAGUGGCAGUGGGGCCAAGCCAGGAUCAGGAUGCCUCAGGAGCCCCAGAGCGUAAACCAUUACUGCACACAUUUAUGGACUAUGGUUCAGGCCUGGCACUUCGAUGGGUUAUGUCAUUUAAUUCUCAUCUUAGAGACGGGACGCCAGGGAGCCCUAAGAACCUGGCUGAUCACUGAGAGGAAGGUCAUAAUGCGUCCCAUCCCAACGUAAAAGCCUUUUCUCUCUUCUCCAACAUUCCCCGCUUGCCUUUCUUCUGGUCCCAACGUUCCAUCUAUUUUUUUCUUAAAAAAAAAAAAAAAAAUUGUUUUGUUUGUUUUGCUUUUUAGGGCCACACCUGCAGCAUAUGGAGGUUCCCUGAGUCACGGCCACAGCAAUGCCAGAUCCAAGCGACACCUCUGUGGUGUAGGUCGCAACCAUGGCUCGGAUCCCGCGUUGCUAUGGCUCUGGCAUAGGCCGGCGGCUACAGCUCCGAUUCGACCCCUAGCCUGGGAAUCUCUGUAUGCCGCGGGAGGGGUCCAAGAAAUGGCAAAAAGACUAAAUAAAUAAAUAAAUUAAUUAAUUAAUUUUUAAAAAAAGUUCCUCUAUGGUUUUCUUUAGCUUUGUUUGCAAGACACCCUUUCCUGGGUGUUAGGCUUGUGGACAUGAACAUUUAGCUCUGUCUCACAGUUUGGAAUUCACCUCUGUCUCUGGAAGCCUUCCUGGGACCGUGGUCCUUUUUAGCUGUGACUUCACUACAUCGUUGUCUGUGUUGUGGUUCUCUUACCUCUUCAUCAAUUACUCAUCUGUGUGGUCAGAACCCCAUUUUCAAGAAUUGAGAAGGAGGAUGGUUUUUUUAGAUUCCAGCUCACCUUUCAAUUCUUGGAAAUCUCUGCUUUGAACUACGAGAUUCUCACCAGACUGGGUUUCUUUCUCCUGGCCGUCGUGGACACAAGGAUGACGUGCGCAUCUUCUCUCACUGUGUCUAUCACUUCCACUUCUCCCAUCACUUCCUCCUUCUUAAUUGGAAGUCAGUCGAGAACAGCAGCCCCUCCCGCUGCUUUCUCAAUCUUCCGAGACCUGGAUCUGUCAGCAGGUUCAGUCAGGGGUGUGUCAUGGACCAUUUUUAUCACAAUGAUGCUAGGAGAUGAGUGUGCACAUUUGAAACCUCCCUCCCCGCCAGUUUUGUCUUUGAUGUUUCUUCCUGAUUUCUGUGCCAGGAAUGAUCAUGCAUUUCCUGUGUUUGGCAGUGGCCGUGGCGUCCUGGAUUACAGGAGCACUUUUCUCUAUGCAUCUCCAUUCUUUUCUUUCCCUUUUUUUGCCUUUUUUAGGGCCACACCCAAGGCAUAUGGAAGUUCCCAGGCUAGGGGUCCAAUCAGAGCUGUAGCC
rnacentral:lncRNA from 1 species